rnacentral:rRNA from 1 species
GACGAACGCUGGCGGCGUGCUUAACACAUGCAAGUCGAACGGAAAGGCCCUGCUUUUGUGGUGUGCUCGAGUGGCGAACGGGUGAGUAACACGUGAGUAACCUGCCCUUGACUUUGGGAUAACUUCAGGAAACUGGGGCUAAUACCGGAUAGGAGCUCCUCCUCCAUGGUUGGGGUUGGCAAGUUUCGGCGGUGGGGGAUGGGCUCGCGGCUUAUCAGCUUGUUGGUGGGGUAGUGGCUUACCAAGGCUUUGACGGGUAGCCGGCCUGAGAGGGGGACCGGCCACAGUGGGACUGAGAUACGGCCCAGAGUCCUACGGGAGGCAGCAGUGGGGAUUAUUGCACAAUGCGCGGAAGCCUGAUGCAGCAACGCCGCGUGCGGGAUGACGGCCUUCGGGUUGUAAACCGCUUUCGCCUGUGACGAAGCGUGAGUGACGGUAAUGGGUAAAGAAGCACCGGCUAACUACGUG